GACAGAGGGUGCGAACGUUGUUCGGAAUUACUGGGCGUAAAGCGCGUGUAGGCGGCAGCGCAAGUCGGGCGUGAAAUCCCACGGCCCAACCGUGGAAGUGCACUCGAAACUGCGCAGCUAGAGUCCUGGAGAGGAAGGUGGAAUGCUUGGUGUAGAGGUGAAAUUCGUAGAUAUCAAGCGGAACACCGGUGGCGAAGGCGGCCUUCUGGACAGUGACUGACGCUGAGACGCGAAAGCGUGGGGAGCAAACAGG
rnacentral:rRNA from 1 species